UGGGGAAUUUUGCACAAUGGGGGAAACCCUGAUGCAGCGACGCCGCGUGAUUUAGAAGGCCUUCGGGUUGUAAAAAUCUUUUCUAUGGGAAGAAAAUGACAGUACCAUAGGAAUAAGGACCGGCUAACUACGUGCCAGCAGCCGCGGUAAUACGUAGGGGGCUAGCGUUGUCCGGAAUCACUGGGCGUAAAGGGUUCGCAGGCGGAAUAACAAGUCAGAUGUGAAAGGCAUGGGCUCAACCCAUGUAAGCAUUUGAAACUGUAAUUCUUGAGAAGUGGAGAGGUAAGUGGAAUUCCUAGUGUAGCGGUGAAAUGCGUAGAUAUUAGGAGGAAUACCUGUGGCGAAGGCGACUUACUGGACACAAAUCUGACGCUGAGGAACGAAAGCGUGGGUAGCAAACAGG
rnacentral:rRNA from 1 species